AAUACGAGAUUUGCAUGAAAGGACAAUUUCUUAUGGUUCAGGCUAACAUAUUGUUUGCUACUUGGCAUAGGUAUGCUCUGUUUAUAUAAAGUAAAUACCUUAAAGGUCUGAUUCAAAUGGAGGUUCCUGGUUUGGUUUUGCACUUUUCUUCAUGUUAGCAAUUUUGUUGUUUUGCAUCAACUAUUUCUUUCUAUGUAAGAUGCCAGUUUUAAUGAUGAUAUCCGAGCUAUUUGUUUGAAUGGAAUGUUUCUCUCAUUCUCCAGGCUGACGGGUGUUUGUCAAAACUUAAAAGCAGCUUGAUCAUGUUUAAGUUGCCUUUCUAAAUUGGCUUUCACAUGUACGGCAGCAUCAUCAUAGGAAUUAGUCCUCAACCAAGGGAUUUAUGGAUGAUCACGAUAUAUAUGCCCAGGAGGCCAUGGAGUUGCGGAGAUGACGGUGACGUGCGGUGGCAGGGACGGGACAUCGCCGCCUGCCGCGCCUGAGUCGGGGCUGACACGGCGGUGGUCAAGGGACUCCUGGAUGGCCACUUUCUCCGCUGGGGUUGAGAUCAAGCCGGCUAUGUACUUCACCUACCUACAUAAGAAUCUCUCAGCACGGAUGAGUUAUUUGCGAUCUAUUCAUAGCAUACCUGCUCUGUUCCAAACCUGCGCUUACUUGGCAUAUGCAAACAGCUAUAUAAUUCCACCUAAUAACAUUUUGGGAUCUAGACAUUUACCACAUGGAUAAUCAGAUCUAGAAUCCUGCUAGGAGGACAUGACGAGGAUGGGGAUGAGUUGAAGGCAGCGGAUUCUCCAUUGCUUUGGCCCCAUGUUGUAGGGUAAAAUGUAAUUAUUCUCUAAGUGCCUCGGAGAAUGACUCGAGGGGUACAGAAGGUGAAGUAAGUACCACACAUGCCUCCAUAGCUAUGAUACUAAAAGAGAGUAUGCCAGUUACUGUGAGGAAUUAGCCAAGC